rnacentral:rRNA from 1 species
CGGGUUGCUGCACCAGUGAGGAAUAUUGCACAAUGGGGGGAACCCUGAUGCAGCAACGCCGCGUGGAGGAUGACGCAUUUCGGUGUGUAAACUCCUUUUAUAUGUCAAGAAGAUGACGGUAGCAUAUGAAUAAGCACCGGCUAACUCCGUGCCAGCAGCCGCGGUAAUACGGAGGGUGCAAGCGUUACUCGGAAUCACUGGGCGUAAAGGACGCGUAGGCGGGUUGGAAAGUCAGGUGUGAAAUCCUACAGCUUAGCUGUAGAACUGCACUUGAAACUUCUAAUCUAGAGUAUGGGAGGGGGAGAUGGAAUUAGUGGUGUAGGGGUAAAAUCCGUAGAUAUCACUAGGAAUACCUAAAGCGAAGGCGAUCUCCUGGAACAUUACUGACGCUAAGGCGUGAAAGCGUGGGGAGCAAACAGGAUUAGAUACCCCGGUAGUC